UUAAAUAUCAUUCAUAAAAUAUGUGUAUGUAUAGUUAGAUAUAAUAGACAAAACCAAGUUUUCGUUUUCUUAUCAGCUUUUAGUGCUUAAGACAGAUUCUGACCUUCUCUGUUUCAUCCCUGCAGAAUCCUGCUAUAAUGAGAAGUACUUUCUGUCAAAGGACUUAAGUGUUUCACAAUGAAUGUCUUUCUCCUCUUAGAUAAUAACACUAAUUGCUAAUAUUUAAGGAGUGUUUUACUAAGUGUCAGGGGCUAUUUUAAGAAUGGGUUAUGGAUAUUUUAUUUACUCAUAGCAAUCUUAAGAGGUCUCUUGACCUCCUGUCUUAGGAAUAAGAUUAAAUAAUUUUCCCAUAGUCCCUCUUAAUGAUAAAAUAAAGAUUUUGAAGGAGUCUCCAGUGGCCCAAUCAAAAAGCAGAAUUGAGAUACUGUGAUGCUGUAAUAAAAUUAGCAUUUGGGGAGUGGACAAGAGAAAUGCCUGUUUUUUGGCCUCUCCUAUCUAAUCUUGUUUAGCAGCCCUAUAUUCCACCAGCCCAUAGCAGGUUCUGAGAGUGGGUCUUUCAUUAAGCAAUUUUACUCAUAACUUGGUGCUUGAGGUAGCACUAAUUACAAAGCUCAAAGAGGGAUGGGGGAAGCUUUCCAAGAGCCAAUGCCAAAAUGGAAGUUUCUCCAUCUACAUCACUAUUUGGAAAGAGUUCAGUAGAUUUUUAUAAACUUUUCAAAAGUACUCUCAACCACCACCAACAAAAAAUAGGUUGGGUGCAGUGGCUCACGCCUGUAAUCUCAGCAUUUGGGGAGGCCGAGGUGGGAGGAUCACUUGAGGUCGGGAGUUGGAGACCAAGCUGACCAACAU
rnacentral:lncRNA from 1 species